rnacentral:rRNA from 1 species
UACGAGUGCCCCAAGCGUUAUCCGGAAUUAUUGGGCGUAAAGGGUGUGUAGGCGGUUUUGUUAGUCCUAUGUUAAAGCUCUCGGCUUAACCGGGAAAAUGCACGGGAUACGGCAAAACUAGAGGAUGCGAGAGGUAUGCGGAACUCAUAGUGUAGGGGUGAAAUCCGUUGAUAUUAUGGGGAACACCAAAAGCGAAGGCAGCAUACUGGCGCACUCCUGACGCUGAGACACGAAAGCGUAGGUAGCGAAUGGG